AUUUUGGGGCCGUUUUGGACCUAACAUUCCAGACUUUUCUUGAUAUUAGGCAUGCUGGUUGUCAUGUGGUUGCUUUCAGCUGAGUGAGGAAGAACAUGGGAGUCGCCUUAGGAAAGCUGAGUUGGGGGGUCAUCAGGUGGCCUGAUGGCAGGAGAGUCAGGGAAAUUUCAUCAGAAGCAUUGUCUGGUUUACUGACCAUCGGGUAAUUUCACCAAUUGUCUCCCGAGAGAACCGGAAGAGGGAACCGUCGUUGUUACAAGAAAUGCAGAUAUCGGUGGGCUAACGAGAUGGAUGAGCCAGGGGCCCAAGGAAGACACAAAGGAGAGCCAUGCAUAGGUCCCCCUGGAAGCUUCAGAUUGCGAGGCAGCUCCUAUGGGAAUGUAGUUCUCAGCUACUGGUUCAGCACCAUGUCUAUCUGCAUGCUGCCAUGCUCCUGCCAUGGUGUUAACGGACUCAGCUUCUGAAAUGUCCAGUCCUCUAGCAAGCCACCAACAUGAAUCAGCAGCUGCAGUCCUGUCCACUCGGCAAUCACCACUCACGAAUCAGCAAUGGCGAAGACGUAACCAUUCCAGAAGGAACCAUGAGGCUCCCCAACUAGUCGGAGUUCGAGGAAGUGCCAAGAUGCUGCUGGAAUAUCAGGAGGAGCUCUUCGGUGAGUUACUCUCUAUGAAGUCAUGACAAGUGACGAUCAGCAACUCGAUGCAAGGCAAACCAGUACAUGAGCAUCACCAGCAAAGACUAGCGAAGCAAAGCAAGGAGAACCAGUGUGAUAGCUUCCUCCCACUGUCUGUGGGGUUUAAACAUCACCUGUGUCUGCUUCAGCAAAACAUUGUGACCCGAGUCUCCAAAGAAGCCAGAAAUCUGCACUUCACACAGCCCUCCAUUCAGGUGGACCCUGUUCAUCCUCUAGACGCUGGAUGGCUACAUGUGGCUCCUGAAUGAGGGACCUGAAAACGGGGGACCUGCUGAGAAAUGCUGUCUUGGUUGGAGGGCUCCACAGAAAACAGAAAAAGUAAAAGUAUCCUGCACAGAUGCUGAAGGAGCAUGCUAGCUGCCAGAGUGGUUAAUGAGGCAUGCUGAUGCUGGGACAAAGAAUGAGGCUGAUCGUGAGCUUGCAUAUUUCCCUGACAAUGAUGGUAGGGAAGCUGUAUAGGGGCGAUGUCCCUGGUCUCCCCCCUCCCCAUUUUACAUCCAACGAUAUGGGAAGGGCCAGAAGUUGUGGUAAUGAUAAACAACACUAAGUUGAUGGAUAUGGCUGCUGGAGGAAAUUUCACUAUCAGUAGAGAAAUUAAUGACCAAGGAUUGGGAGCUGGUGUCUCCACAGGCUUUUCAAAGCAGAACUCUACUGGAGGUCCGAGAGUAUCUCCUACUGCAUUGCAGGGCAAAGAUCUUGACUCAUGCAAAGGCUGUACUGUAGCAUUUUCCUCACUGUGGGAUGAGGGAGUGCACAAAUGUCACAAUUCCCUGGAAAACAUGUGUGGGAAUAAGCCUGUGCUUUAUCAGCCUCAUGGGACUCACCUCAAGAUUUUGGUCUACAUUUGGUUGGAAUAUAGAGGAGUGGCUAGUAUGACUAAUUAUGCUACUGUCUUUCCUUCUCCACCUAUCCUCCCCUCAUCAGCGUUGUCUGCUGGACUCUGGUAGACUCACACAGGUUAUUAGCAACAACAUGUAUGGAAGUUGGGUGCUGCCGUAGAUGAUCUGAGUGGUCAGCCUGAAAGAGCAAGUCCAGCUUGGAUGAAAGGGCCUAUUGCAGCAUUUGUUUGCAUGCCUCCUGUCCUAUCAGUAGGAAAUAUUAGCAUUAGUCUACAUUCUGAGAAUAAUACUUUUGAUGUGUCUGGUGUUGGCUGUAAUUUGACUAAUUAUGUUUUAAAAGCCUGUUCUAAGCGUUCUGUAAUGAUUUUACAUCAACCUGCUUUUGUGAUGGUUCCUGUAAAUAUUACUGAAGAUUGGUUUGAUGACAAGGGUUUAUAGGUAAUUGAGGAGUUAACAAAGGCGUUGGCCAGGCCUAAAUGCAUGAUUGGUUAAUUAUAGGAGGUGAUUACUUUAAUGGCCACUGCUACUACAGCUGCUAUUACCUUAUCCCAAAGUGUUCAAACAGCUCAUUUUGUAUAUAAUUUAUCCAUAAAUGUUUCCAUGGCAUUGCAUACCCAGGAAGAUACAGAUGAUAUGAUGUAACAGAAAUUAGAUGCCUUACUUGUGGUUAAUUUCUUGGGGAAAGAAAUUCAGGGGUUUAAAAUACAAAUUAUAUUUAGAUGUCAUGUUAGUUAUCAAUGGAUCUGCAUUAUGCCAAAAAUGUUUAAUGAUACUAUAUAUAGUUGGGAGAGUGUGCAAUCCCACUUGCAAGGUGUGGAAUCAUGCCAAUGUAUCUUUGGGCUUAUUAAAGUUACACCAAGUAGUUAUUAAUUUAAAAAAACAGAGCCUCUACAUUUUGAUGCAUCUCAAACAGCUAGAGAUCUGCUAGGACAGUUGCAGGGUUGGUUUCCUUCUUGGCCUGCACUCCUACAACACAGCAUCGCUGUUGCUGUCAGACUUGGUAUAGUAUUGCUCCUCUAGUUACUGCUGCCAAGUGUCCUUUGGUAUACGUUGUCACAAUUUUCACAUCUGAAGAGCCAGAUACAUGGCCUCCAUCUUAAAACCCCCUCCUCUCCAGUUUGACUGAAUACGACCAGUGACGGGUAAGAGUGUUCUUCAGCUCCUUCAACCUAAGACAGAACAUACAUCAGUGCUGUGUAUGCUUCCACGACGGGUAAGAAGGAGCAAUGUAGACACCAACCUAAGACAGGUAUAUUCAUCUGGAGCAUCCUUUAUUAAGUAAAAUAAAAAAGAGGGGAUCUGUGGAGAGCCAGAGUCCUGCCAUGAGAGCAGUGUGUAUUGCCAAGGCUAUGAGAACGGUCUGUGUAGCCAAGGUUAGAGAGUAGUGUGUAUAGCCAAGAGGAACUCCUAUCUAUGUUUAGUCUGUAGAGAAACUUUCUCAAGAAGAGCUUUGUCUGCUGAAGUGCUUAUAAGCUGGAGCUGCAGAAAUGUACUUUGAUCCCUGAUCAGAACCUUGCCUUGACUUCAUGCUUCUCUCACCUCCUACCCUUUUCAUUUCCAGCCCCCCAUUCAGGUGAACUGUGUUCAUCCUCUAGCCGCUGGACGGCUGCAGGGGUUGGGUGAAGAACUUGGGGAAAGGGAACCAGAAAGGGGGAGCAAUAUUUGGAAUGUAAAUAAAAUAAUUUAAUAAAAAUGCUUUCUACCAGAACAUAUUUUCCUGCAAAUAUUAUGAUUUUAUUUUAUUUUUUCCUGGCUGCAUAAAAUUCCAUUGUGCCCAGUAACACAGCUGAUCUGAUUAUCAGAACAAAGUAUGUCCACUUAAUCUGGGAACUAAAGAUAUUUUAUCUAUCAUUUUAUCAUCCAUUAAUCUGUUGAUGGCCAUCUAAGCUGGCUCCAUUUCUUGGCUGACUUGAAUAUAGCAGCAACAAGCCCGGGUAUACAAGAAUGUCUGCGGUAUUAACUUAGAGUCCUUUGGGUAUAUAUGGAAGAGCGGCAUAGUUGGGCUAUAUGGUAGAAAGCCAUGCUGAUUUAAAUAGUGGUCACACAGGUUUACAGUCUCUGCAGUAAGUAACGAUCCCAGCCUUCUAAUCCCCACAUCCUGGCCAAAAUUUGUUGUCCCUUGUUUUCUUGGUGAUUGCCACUCUGACCUGAGUGAUACGGAAUCUUGAGGCAGUUUUAAUUUACACUUCCCUGUUGGCUAAGAAUGUUGAACACUUUUCAAAGUAUUUAUUGAAUACUUGGGUUUCUUCUUUUAACAACUGUCUCCUGAUUACUGAUUGCAAGAUGUAGAUUUUUUUUUUUUUGGUAAUUUUUCCAUAGCCUCCUAAUGUGUAGCUGACAAAGACCUUCAUCCCAUGCUGCAGGCUGCCUUACUCUGGAGAUCAUUUCCUUUGUUGUGAAGCAGCCUUUUAAUUUCACAGAGUCCCAUUUGUCAAUUUUGGAUUAUUUCUUGAGCUAUAGACAGAGCAGGUUCCCACCCCCUACUGGGUAUCCAUACUGUGGGGACUGAGCCCAGGCCCUGCCUUAUGUUGGACAAGUGCUGGGCCACUCAGCUCCAGCCUCUACUCCACCAUCUACUGCAACUCAACAGCUGCCCUGCACUGUUAUCAACUGCUUACCAACACUGCUUUUACCACGGCUACCGACAAGCCACAUCAAGUGCACAGAUUUUGUCUUAAAAAUCAGGUCACUUUUGUCAAAAUAGGCAUGUGCAAUGUCUCUAGGCAUUAUUUUCUUUUAUCCGUUACCUCUGUCUAUUUCCUCUUGGUGUGUGUGGUGGUUUGAAUAAGAAUGGCCUCCACAGGCUCAUAUGUUUGGAUGCUUAGUCGAUAGAGAGUGAAACUGUUUCAUAAGGAUCAGAAGGUGUGGCCUUUUUGGAGGAGGUGUGUCAUUGGAAGUAGGCUUUGAGGUUUCAAAAGCCUACACCAAGUCUUUGUCUCUCUCUCCCUCACUGCUGCCUAUGGAACAGGAUAUAAAUUCCUCAGAUACUGUUCUAGUACCAUGCCUGUAUUCUUCCAGCCAUGAUGAUCAUAGACUAGCUCUCUGAAACGGUAAAGCCAGCCCGCAACUAAAUGCUUUCAUUUAUAAGAACUGCCAUGAUUAUGGUGUCUCUUCACAGCAAUAGAGCAGCAUCUAAGUGUUUACAGAAUUCUCUCUCUCUCUCUUCCUAGUGCUAAACAUAUAUGUUGAAAUCAUCUCUGAGUAUGUCAUUUUCACUAGAUUAUAAAUGAUUCCAACCUAGUUAUUUCCCUCUCAAGUUCCCGUCUUUCUCUCUGUUCUUGUUUUUUCCUCAGAAUGCCCACUUGAAUCGACUCUUGUUACAAUGAUAGACAUUUCAUUAGUUCUGAUUAGAUUACCUUUGCCAUGAGUAAGCACAACGUCUUAAAUAAGGAGUUCAUUUUCCCUCAUAACAAACCCAGAGCCAGUCUCUGAGUUCUUACCAUAAAUCCAGAGUCUUUCUCCUUUGUCUGACUCAUGUUCCAUCUGCCUUUCAUCUUUGUGACUGAAAAAUGGCUGCCCUCGUGUCUCAGGGCAUUGUAUCUCUACACCUGGAAGGAAGACGGGCAAGGUGACUAGAAGGGGCAAACCCUUCCCCUGAAGUGCUACCUUUUCAUCCUGGAAGCCUGACUCAGGGAUUUCCAUCUGCACCUCAUUGGCUGAGCUGGGCAGCUGCCCCCCCCCAUUGGCUGAGCUAGGCAGCUGCCCCCCUCCCAUUGGCUGAGCUGGGCAGUUGGCCUCUCAUUGGCUGAGCUGGGUAGCUGGCCCCUCAUUGGCUGAGCUGAGCUAGGCAGAUGGCCACACCGCAUAAUGCCGAUAUUGGGAAUAGGUGCUGGGAAGGUUGCUGGCGACUCACCCUUUUCACUAUUUCUUACUAGUGAUGCCAAGUAUCCGUGUAGCCCACGUUACAUUAUGAUAUGCAAGUUUCAUAUCUCUUCUAUCUGUCGCAUUUCCAUCUCAGACCCAUUACUUCAGAUUGUCAGCAGCAGCAGCAGCAGCAGCAGCAGCAGCAGCAGCAGCAGCAGCAGCAGCAGCAGCAGAUGUUAACAGCCAGGUAGCCCGAUCAUGUCUUUUCAGAGAUCUCUGAUGGGGAAACCUAGAUCUUGACUUGUGCCACAGAAAGGAAUUCCAGGACAAGAUGACACGAGGCAGAUUAAGUAAAGGAAGAACUUAUUACGGAAAGGACCCAGUGGUGCAGAUGGGUUUCUCGAGACAUGCGUAGUUGAACUUAUAUGUAAGCUUUGAUAGCGAAGGGGUUAUUGAUGACAAGAAGCAGGAGGAGUGGGGGCGGGGUAGGGGGGAGCAAGGGCUGCCCUAACAGGGCAUGGUAUCAGGUGCUUGAGAGCAGGCAAUGGUGCAAGUCCUAUGUUAUGGACAUGCCACAAAAUGAAGCGAGGUUGGUUAGCAGCCCUCUGCGUCUGCUACACUGGUCCUGGUUGGUUUGGAGCAGUCACGUGGUAUCAACCUGCAGUUCUGUCUGGCCUAUCCUGUAUCACUAAGAGUACAGUUAGUAUUGAUGUCUGAGGUACGCUGCUGAAAAUGUUGGCACUUGGCUAACCUCAACUUCAGUGAGUUGGUUCUCAUACGUUAAAAAAGUCUGGAGUUAAUUUUCCCACCCCGUCCGUCCCCAGGUUAUCAGGAGCUCGGUGCAGCUCAGACUUGCUUUACUUUGUAAUGGAGCAGCGUUUUCUCUUUCUCAGCAACACUUUGUUCGAACCAUCUGCCACCUGUCAGCUUUUGCACCUCAGCAGUCUUACCUUGUGUCCAGCGUUGAGAACGUGAAUGCUGUUAGCACUUUCUUUCUGAAACUUGGCCAGUCAUUCUUAUGUCCACCUGUAAGGUCUGUUUAAUAAAAUUUGAUUAUACCAGUGGUUAUCUAACAUGUCUACCUUGGUAGCAUAUUUAUUCAUUCUUUAAAAGAAUUAUUUAUUUUAUGUAUAUGAGUACAUUGUAGCUGUCUUCAGGCACACAAGCAGAGGGCAUUGGAUCCCAUUACAGAUGGUUGUGAGCCACCAUGUGGUUGCUGGGAAUUGAACUCAGAACCUUUGGAAGAGCAAUCAUUGCUCUUAACCACUGAGUCAUCUCUCCAGCCCUAGAAUAUUCUUUUAAAGAUAAAAGGUUUUUUUUUUGUUUUUUUUUGUUUUUUUUUGGUUGUUGUUGUUAAAUUUGUUAUUGAGAGUGGGGGCUGCCUUGGUGUGCACAUAGAGAUCAAAGGAUAACUUGUCUGAUACUGUUCUCUCCUUCCAUAUGUGGGUCCCAGAAAUUGAACUCAGGUUAUCAGGCUUGGUAGUAAGGUCUUUAUGGACUGAGCCGUAUGGUCAGCUAGCCACUCCCAGCCUUUUGAGAUAAGGUCUGGCCUUAAGCAUACAGGAUCAGGCUGGCCUUAAGCAUACAAAAUGGCUGAGGGUGGCCUUGAACUCUUGACCCUUCUGCAUCUACCUCCUAGGUGCUAGAAUUACAGUCAUGUACUACAUCACCACACCUGCUAGUGCUAACAUACACAUUUUCAAAUGUUAUUUUCUAUGCAUCAAGCAUAGUGGUAUGAUUCAUGCUUUAGAAGACUGAAUGUUGUUUGUUUCCUGGAGGAAUAAAAGGGGCUAUGGGUAGAUGCUGCAAGAAGAAUCCAGCGAUUUAAGCAGGAGGAACUAACUCCCAAAACCCAGUCUUAAGAGACAUAAUCUGAAAGUGCUAAUAGCAUGCUGUAUAAUAAUGCCGUGGUGAAAACAGGAUUUUGCUUACUGAAUAAACAACAAAUCCACCAGAUGGGGCUCUAAUAUUCUUUUGGACCAGUGACUGAAAAGUAAGUAUUUCCUGCUAUCUUUAGAGGAAAAAAUAUGCAUAUAACCAUAUUAACCUCCAAGAGAAUCUUCCUGAAAUAGGAUUAUGGUCUCCAGCAAGCAUCGUCAUUGUGUUUAAUGUCUUCUGAGUCCCAGGGGGACAUUUAGAAAGAAAGUGGCCAAUUUGCUGAAAAAAAAAAAAACUGAGGCACCCAGAACAGCACAGUUCAAUUACCCCUGAGCUGGGUCCUUUGUGGGCCCCACUUUAAGGAAAUCGAGACGUAUUUAUGAACAAAUGGCUGCCUUAUUGCCAGUGUGUUCUUCCAUCUUUGGAUUUACUGACGCUAUUUAAAAUGUGAAUUGCUUGAGAUGAGGUGACAUCAUUGUUAAACCUGCCACAGCUGCAGAAACUCUCUCUCUGUCCAGUUAUUUGGAUGAGCUGUGCAUCACGGUAAGGACGUGGGUUCUCCGUGGGAUACAUUUUGCUUCUGCUUUCCUAGGAGUUUCAGGUUAGAUUUCUGAAGCAGGGCCCCCUUCCUGGACUCUAUCCUUAUGACUCACAACUGCUGUUCAACCUGGAACGGAUGCCAGCUGGGAAUUAUAGAGCUGAGUUUUAACACAGAGUGGGCGUGUUGGCCAGGCUUUGGUCAACUUGUCACAUGCUAGAGUCAUCUGGGGAGGGGAACCCUCAAUUGAGGACAUACCCUCAUCAGAAUGGCCCAUAGGCAAGCCUGUAAGGUGUUUUAUUGAUUACUGAUAGAUGUGGGAAUAUUUAGCCCAUUACGAGUGGCGCUGUUCUGGGCAGGUGGUUGGUUCUGGGUUCCAUAAGGAAGCAAACAGAGCAAGCUACCGGGAGCAGACCAGUAAGCAACGCCGUUCCACAGACUCUGCUUCCGGACCUAUCUCCAGGUUCCUGCCUUAACUUCUCCUGAUGAUGGACCAGCAAGUCAAACAAAUCCUUCCCUCCCCAGGUUGGUUAUGGUGUUUCAUCACAGAAACAGAAAGCAACUGAGGCAACAGGUUGGGGACUGAGUCAGGUUUCCUAAUAUGACAUUGUCUAAUGGAGCCCAGAGCUAGAUUAGGCCAGGUAGCUCUCUGCGUCCCAGGAUGGCAGUCAAGACACAUCACCACUAAGGGCCACAGGAGUAAAUGCUGACUCUCUCACAGAACGCUUUGAAAUAUUGGCUCACCAACCAAAGGGCACACACGGGCUGGUCUGAGGCCCUAGCACUUAAGUAACAGAGGGUUGCCACUUCUGGUCUCAAUCAAUCAGAGAGAAUGCACCUAAUUCUGCAGAGACUUGAUGUGUCUGGAUUAUGGGAUGCAGGAUGGGGGCUGUCCUCUAAGAGACAACAUUUGAGGGAAGGAAGGCAACAUUUGAGAUGUAAUUAAUUAAUUAAUUAAUUAAGAAGAGAAAUAUUAGCUCAUUUUGUCUUGCAGCUGACUUUGCUCCAACCACACACGUUGUCUGAACACAUCAGGCUUUCUCCAGUCUGAGUAGUUCUAUGUAGGAGUCUAUUCUCAGGCCACUGCUUGCUUCUUUCAGGCAUUUGCUGAAAUUUCACUUCCUCAUUGAGGUGUUCCUUUGCCACGUGGUUGAAAGCGGUCAUGUGACCAGCUAUGGAACUGGGCGUGCUCUCCUUUCUCACUGGUGGCCAGCAAGCCCCAGCGGUCCUGUCUUCACUCCCCACAGCGCUGGGGUUAGAGUUGUACGCAGCCACCUCCAGCAUUUAUACGGAUGCCGGGAUCCAAACCUGACUGUGUGGCAACUGCUCUGACCUACUGAGCCAUCUCUUCAGCCUCGUCGCUUCUGAUCCCCAAGCAAUUGUUUCUUAACUAGCUCAGAACUGUCACUGUCAUAGUUUCGAUGUAUUUAUUCAUCCAUCAGCCAUCAGCUGAAAGUCUAGAAGCAGGGCGUUGUGCUCUCUAAUGGAAACAGUCACUUAUUUAUUAUCUCAACUGCAAAUGCUUUUAUGCACAUUUAACAAAGUUGCUUUGUUUAACUCAUGGCAAAUGAUAGUAAUGUGAAACUAAGAAUUUGCAGAAAAGACCCGAGACAUUCUACCAGUGUGUCAGCAAAGGCACUGAGCUGGUUUGUUAAUCCGGUUUUGUUUCACUUCACUAAAACGCUGCAGAUUUCUGGACCUCACUGAGUCACAGUUAAAUAAAUGGUGAAGGACACCAGUGGGAAAACAAACCAACCCCGUGGUUCACCCAGUCUCCCCUGUUGCUGCAAGGGCGCUGGCCUGGCUUGGUCACCUGACAGUCACAGGCCAUGCCUGCCCAGUCCUUGAGCAUGUCUCAUUGCACUUUUUUCUAAAAUAUUGAUCUGUUUGAAUCUGUUUUCACCAUUCGAGCUCCAGGAAGAGAAAGCGCAUGAAUGUCUCUCUCUGUGUGUCUGUGUAUGUGUGUGCAUGUGUGUGUAUGUAUGUAUGUAUGUAUGUAUGUAUGUAUAU